rnacentral:rRNA from 1 species
AGAGUUUGAUCCUGGCUCAGGAUGAACGCUAGCGAUAGGCCUAACACAUGCAAGUCGAGGGGCAGCAUAGAGUAGCAAUACUUUGAUGGCGACCGGCGCACGGGUGAGUAACACGUAUGCAACCUACCUACAUCAGGGGAAUAACCCGGAGAAAUUCGGACUAAUACCGCAUAAUACAGGGAUGCCGCAUGGCAAUAUUUGUUAAAGAUUUAUCGGAUGUAGAUGGGCAUGCGUUCCAUUAGCUUGUUGGUGAGGUAACGGCUCACCAAGGCAACGAUGGAUAGGGGAACUGAGAGGUUUGUCCCCCACACUGGAACUGAGACACGGACCAGACUCCUACGGGAGGCAGCAGUGAGGAAUAUUGGUCAAUGGACGAGAGUCUGAACCAGCCAAAUCGCGUGAAGGAAGACUGCCCUACGGGUUGUAAACUUCUUUUGUACAGGAAUAAAAGACAUUACGUGUAAUGUAUUGCAUGUACUGUACGAAUAAGCAUCGGCUAAUUCCGUGCCAGCAGCCGCGGUAAUACGGAGGAUGCGAGCGUUAUCCGGAUUUAUUGGGUUUAAAGGGUGCGCAGGCGGGAUUUUAAGUCAGCGGUGAAAUUUUCAGGCUCAACCUGAACACUGCCGUUGAAACUGGGAUUCUUGAGUAUGGAUGAAGUAGGCGGAAUUCGUUGUGUAGCGGUGACAUGCUUAGAUAUAACGAGGAACUCCGAUUGCGUAGGCAGCUUACUAAGCCAUAACUGACGCUCAAGCACGAAAGCGUGGGGAUCAAACAGGAUUAGAUACCCUGGUAGUCG